UUUCUCUUCUUCUUUACUCUAUACGUUGGUGUUAUAACCAAUAAUCACCAAAGCGAUGUUCUGUCCGAUUGAUUCAGGAACCAACGAACAAAUACCAAAGUGUUGUACUUUGUGAAUUUCGGUAAAGGGAAUCCAAAGUACUAUACUUUGUGAAUUUCGGUAAACGGAAUCCAAAGUGUUAUACUUUGUGAAAUUCGUUAAGGUUCGAAUCUCGUGAUCAUUGUUAGGUUUGAUUUGGGUUUUACACAAAUACGUAUUCCAUUCUGUUAAACUAUAUGUUUAACCAUCAGAAUACUCCCAACUAUACGCUUACAAUCAAAAUGGAUGCUUAAUCAUCAGAAGAUCCAAAAUAAUAAAGUAUAUGCUUAAUUAUCAGAAGGAGUAGAAUCAAGAAGCUUGUUAAAUCAAUACUGCAUGCUUAUACUGGAUUAA
rnacentral:lncRNA from 1 species